AACGCGAAGAACCUUACCAGGUCUUGACAUCCAGAGAACUUUCCAGAGAUGGAUUGGUGCCUUCGGGAGCUCUGAGACAGGUGCUGCAUGGCUGUCGUUAGCUCGUGUCGUGAGAUGUUGGGUUAAGUCCCGUAACGAGCGCAACCCUUGCCCUUAGUUGCCAGCGAGUAAUGUCGGGAACUCUAAGGGGACUGCCGGUGACAAACCGGAGGAAGGUGGGGAUGACGUCAAGUCAUCAUGGCCCUUACGACCUGGGCUACACACGUGCUACAGUGGGCGGUACAAAGGGUUGCCAAGCCGCGAGGUGGAGCUAAUCCCAUAAAACCGUUCGUAGUCCGGAUUGGAGUCUGCAACUCGACUCCAUGAAGUCGGAAUCGCUAGUAAUCGUAAAUCAGAACGUUACGGUGAAUACGUUCCCGGGUCUUGUACACACCG
rnacentral:rRNA from 1 species